rnacentral:rRNA from 1 species
UACAGAGGUCCCAAGCGUUGUUCGGAUUCACUGGGCGUAAAGGGUGCGUAGGCGGUCGGGUAAGUCUGACGUGAAAUCUCCAAGCUCAACUUGGAAAUGGCGUCGGAUACUAUUCGGCUUGAGGAGUGGAGGGGAGACUGGAAUUCUCGGUGUAGCAGUGAAAUGCGUAGAUAUCGAGAGGAACACCAGUGGCGAAGGCGAGUCUCUGGGCAGUAACUGACGCUGAGGAGCGAAAGCGUGGGGAGCGAACAGG